rnacentral:rRNA from 1 species
AACGAACGCUGGCGGCAUGCCUAACACAUGCAAGUCGAACGAGACCUUCGGGUCUAGUGGCGCACGGGUGCGUAACGCGUGGGAACCUGCCCUUAGGUUCGGAAUAACCCCCCGAAAGGGGUGCUAAUACCGGAUAAUGUCUUCGGACCAAAGAUUUAUCGCCUUUGGAUGGGCCCGCGUUGGAUUAGCUAGUUGGUAGGGUAAAAGCCUACCAAGGCGACGAUCCAUAGCUGGUCUGAGAGGAUGAUCAGCCACACUGGGACUGAGACACGGCCCAGACUCCUACGGGAGGCAGCAGUGGGGAAUAUUGGACAAUGGGCGAAAGCCUGAUCCAGCAAUGCCGCGUGAGUGAUGAAGGCCUUAGGGUUGUAAAGCUCUUUUACCCGGGAUGAUAAUGACAGUACCGGGAGAAUAGGCUCCGGCUAACUCCGUG